rnacentral:rRNA from 2 species
UCUAUACAUGCAGUCGACGAACUCUGGUAUUGAUUGGUGCUUGCAUCAUGAUUUACAUUUGAGUGAGUGGCGAACUGGUGAGUAACACGUGGGAAACCUGCCCAGAAGCGGGGGAUAACACCUGGAAACAGAUGCUAAUACCGCAUAACAACUUGGACCGCAUGGUCCGAGUUUGAAAGAUGGCUUCGGCUAUCACUUUUGGAUGGUCCCGCGGCGUAUUAGCUAGAUGGUGAGGUAACGGCUCACCAUGGCAAUGAUACGUAGCCGACCUGAGAGGGUAAUCGGCCACAUUGGGACUGAGACACGGCCCAAACUCCUACGGGAGGCAGCAGUAGGGAAUCUUCCACAAUGGACGAAAGUCUGAUGGAGCAACGCCGCGUGAGUGAAGAAGGGUUUCGGCUCGUAAAACUCUGUUGUUAAAGAAGAACAUAUCUGAGAGUAACUGUUCAGGUAUUGACGGUAUUUAACCAGAAAGCCACGGCUAACUACGUGCCAGCAGCCGCGGUAAUACGUAGGUGGCAAGCGUUGUCCGGAUUUAUUGGGCGUAAAGCGAGCGCAGGCGGUUUUUUAAGUCUGAUGUGAAAGCCUUCGGCUCAACCGAAGAAGUGCAUCGGAAACUGGGAAACUUGAGUGCAGAAGAGGACAGUGGAACUCCAUGUGUAGCGGUGAAAUGCGUAGAUAUAUGGAAGAACACCAGUGGCGAAGGCGGCUGUCUGGUCUGUAACUGACGCUGAGGCUCGAAAGUAUGGGUAGCAAACAGGAUUAGAUACCCUGGUAGUCCAUACCGUAAACGAUGAAUGCUAAGUGUUGGAGGGUUUCCGCCCUUCAGUGCUGCAGCUAACGCAUUAAGCAUUCCGCCUGGGGAGUACGGCCGCAAGGCUGAAACUCAAGGAAUUGACGGGGGCCCGCCACAGCGUGGAGCAUGUGGUUUAAUUCGAAG